rnacentral:rRNA from 1 species
UACGUAGGGUGCAAGCGUUAAUCGGAAUUACUGGGCGUAAAGCGUGCGCAGGCGGUUUUGUAAGUCUGUCGUGAAAUCCCCGGGCUUAACCUGGGAAUGGCGAUGGAGACUGCAAGGCUGGAAUCUGGCAGAGGGGGGGAGAAUUCCACGUGUAGCAGUGAAAUGCGUAGAGAUGUGGAGGAACACCGAUGGCGAAGGCAGCCCCCUGGGCUAAGAUUGACGCUCAUGCACGAAAGCGUGGGGAGCAAACAGG